CCAAAUCGACGAAAAAAUCCCCCACGCCGCCAUCGCUCCCCAGCCACCGUCGUCGAUCCACCACCGUCGCCGGGCCCGAGAUCUGCUGCCGCCACUCGCAGGUCGACGCCCUCCAGCACUGUUUCUCCUGGAGCCACGCCGACCGCGCCACGGGCAAGCGCGCCACCACCGUCCUCGCCGAGCUCGCGAAGAACGAGGAGGUUGUGAACGUAAUCGUGGAGGGCGGCGCCGUGCCGGUGCUCGUGUGCCACCUGAAGGUGCCCCCUACGGAGGCGGCGGCGGGCGAGGAGCACUAGCCCCGCCCGUUCGAGCACGAGGUCGAGAAGGGCGCUGCCUUCGCUCUCGGGCUUCUGGCCGUAAAGAUGACGUACUAUGUCGUCUACCACGGCAGGGUUCCUGGAGUCUACGAGGACUGGGAAGACUGUAGGAGGCAGGUCCACCGUUUCAGCGGCAACAGCUACAAGGGGUACACCACUUUGGAGGAGGCGGAAACUCGAUACGCCAACUUUCGAGCGGGACAGAGGAGGGAGAUGUGGAGGACCCCUUUCAUCGUGAUGAUGCUUGCCGCCACCGUCUCUCUAGUUUAUUAUGUCAUUGUUGUUUAGCUAGGUCAUCGACACUGGAUUUAUAUGUAUUGUGCUACUUCGAGUCGUGAUGUUAUGGUCAACUAUCUACUAUCUAAACUUGUCUUAUUA